rnacentral:rRNA from 1 species
AUAUUGCACAAUGGGCGCAAGCCUUAUGCAGCGACGCCGCGCGGGGGAUGACGGCCUUCGGGUUGUAAACUCCUUUCGCUAGGGACGAAGCGCUUUCGUGACGGUACCUGGAGAAGAAGCACCGGCUAACUACGUGCCAGCAGCCGCGGUAAUACGUAGGGUGCGAGCGUUGUCCGGAAUUACUGGGCGUAAAGAGCUCGUAGGUGGUUUGUCGCGUCGUUUGUGUAAGCCCGCAGCUUAACUGCGGGACUGCAGGCGAUACGGGCAUAACUUGAGUGCUGUAGGGGAGACUGGAAUUCCUGGUGUAGCGGUGGAAUGCGCAGAUAUCAGGGGGAACACCGAUGGCGAAGGCAGGUCUCUGGGCAGUAACUGACGCUGAGGAGCGAAAGCAUGGGGAGCGAACAG